rnacentral:rRNA from 1 species
UAGCAUAUCAAUAAGCGGAGGAAAAGAAACUAACAAGGAUUCCCCUAGUAACUGCGAGUGAAGCGGGAAAAGCUCAAAUUUAAAAUCUGGCGGUCUUUGGCCCGUCCGAGUUGUAGUCUGGAGAAGUGCUUUCCGCGCUGGACCGUGUAUAAGUCUCUUGGAACAGAGCGUCAUAGAGGGUGAGAAUCCCGUCUUUGACACGGACUACCAGUGCUUUGUGAUGCGCUCUCAAAGAGUCGAGUUGUUUGGGAAUGCAGCUCAAAAUGGGUGGUGAAUUCCAUCUAAAGCUAAAUAUUGGCGAGAGACCGAUAGCGAACAAGUACCGUGAGGGAAAGAUGAAAAGCACUUUGGAAAGAGAGUUAAACAGUACGUGAAAUUGCUGAAAGGGAAACGCUUGAAGUCAGUCGCGUCGUCCGGAACUCAGCCUUGCUUUUGCUUGGUGCACUUUCCGGAUGACGGGCCAGCAUCGAUUUUGACCGUCGGAAAAGGGCUAGGGUAAUGUGGCACCUUCGGGUGUGUUAUAGACCUUAGUCGCAUACGGCGGUUGGGAUCGAGGAACGCAGCGCGCCGCAAGGCAGGGGUUCGCCCACUUUCGCGCUUAGGAUGCUGGCAUAAUGGCUUUAAACGACCCGUCUUGAAACACGGACCAAGGAGUCUAACAUACCUGCGAGUGUUUGGGUGGAAAACCCGAGCGCGUAAUGAAAGUGAAAGUUGAGACCUCUGUCGUGGAGGGCAUCGACGCCCGGACCUGACGUUCUCUGACGGAUCCGCGGUAGAGCAUGUAUGUUGGGACCCGAAAGAUGGUGAACUAUGCCUGAAUAGGGUGAAGCCAGAGGAAACUCUGGUGGAGGCUCGUAGCGAUUCUGACGUGCAAAUCGAUCGUCAAAUUUGGGUAUAGGGGCGAAAGACUAAUCGAACCAUCUAGUAGCUGGUUCCUGCGUCCCCCUUCUCCACGCAAAUAAAAAA